UCAGAAACUACAAAGGAAUUGACGGGGACCCGCACAAGCAGCGGAGCAUGUGGUUUAAUUCGAAGCAACGCGAAGAACCUUACCAGAUCUUGACAUCCAAUUGACCAUCUUUUAAUCGAGAUUUUGCCUUCGGGUACAAUUGAGACAGGUGGUGCAUGGUUGUCGUCAGCUCGUGCCGUGAGGUGUCGGGUUAAGUCCCAUAACGAGCGCAACCCCUACCUUUAGUUGCCAUCAGGUAAUGCUGGGGACUCUAAAGGAACUGCCUACGCAAGUAGUGAGGAAGGUGGGGAUGACGUCAAAUCAGCACGGCCCUUACGUCCAGGGCUACACACGUGCUACAAUGGCCGGUACAAAGGGCAGCUACCUGGUGACGGGAUGCUAAUCUCAAAAGCCGGUCUCAGUUCGGAUCGGAGUCUGCAACCCGACUCCGUGAAGCUGGAAUCGCUAGUAAUCGUGGAUCAGCCAAGCCGCGGUGAAUACGUUCCCGGGCCUU
rnacentral:rRNA from 1 species